ACGAUGACGAGUUAAGAUGCUUUCUUCUGAGCGUGAAUCGGGUGGUGAGCGAGAUUGUCUGCUCUCUGUCAUUGAUGAACGUUCCUGCUGUGCUUUGCAGUCUGGAAGAAGAAAGCAUGUUCAGAGU
ensembl:snoRNA U3 Small nucleolar RNA U3